GACGAACGCUGGCGGCGUGCUUAACACAUGCAAGUCGAACGGAAAGGCCCUGCUUUUGUGGGGUGCUCGAGUGGCGAACGGGUGAGUAACACGUGAGUAACGUGCCCUUGACUUUGGGAUAACUUAAGGAAAGUGGGGCUAAUACGGGAUAGGAGCUCCUGCUGCAUGGUGGGGGUUGGAAAGUUUCGGCGGUUGGGGAUGGACUCGCGGCUUAUCAGCUUGUUGGGUGGGUAGUGGCUUACCAAGGCUUGGAAGGGUAGCCUGCCUGAGAGGGUGACCGGCCACAUUGGGACUGAGAUACGGCCCAGACUCCUACGGGACGCAGCAGUGGAGAAUAUUGCACUAUGGGCGGAUGCCUGAUGCAGCAACGCCGCGUGCGGGAUGACGUCCUUCGGGUUGUAUACCGCUUUCGCCUUUGACGAGGCGUGAGUGACGGUAAUGGGUAAAGAAGCACCGGCUAACUACGUG
rnacentral:rRNA from 1 species